AUUGAACGCUGGCGGCAUGCCUUACACAUGCAAGUCGAACGGCAGCACGGGAGCAAUCCUGGUGGCGAGUGGCGAACGGGUGAGUAAUAUAUCGGAACGUACCUUUCAGUGGGGGAUAACGUAGCGAAAGUUACGCUAAUACCGCAUAUUCUGUGAGCCAGGAAAGCAGGGGAUCGCAAGACCUUGCGCUGAUUGAGCGGCCGAUAUCAGAUUAGCUAGUUGGUGAGGUAAAGGCUCACCAAGGCGACGAUCUGUAGCGGGUCUGAGAGGAUGAUCCGCCACACUGGAACUGAGACACGGUCCAGACUCCUACGGGAGGCAGCAGUGGGGAAUUUUGGACAAUGGGCGCAAGCCUGAUCCAGCCAUGCCGCGUGAGUGAAGAAGGCCUCGG
rnacentral:rRNA from 1 species